GGGGGGGUACGGGGAGCCCAGCGGGGCGCGUUCGCGUCCCACCGCUCGCCGCGGGAGAGGGGACGGGGAGGAGGACUACGGAGCGGGGAGGGGAGGAAGAACACCGACAGGAGAGAGGAGCGGCAGAAGUUUCUUCAAAUUGGCACUUGCCUCAGCCCGCAUAACAUCAAAGUGGAUUCUGAAAGGCCCACAAAAGGGACAGUACAUUGAAGGCAUGCAUUUGGGAGACGUGUCAACACAAGAGAGCAGUUGGAGAAGAGGAGAAAGAAAACAGCAAGCAGAUAUGUUAAACAAACUUGAGAAAGGAAACCUAGUGUUAAAUCUCUAAACAUUACUGCACGUGGAUUUGAUCCCGUCUGCACAGGGAGUGGUGGAAAAGUUUUCAUCGUAUUUCAGGCACAGAGGCUCACUCUCCAGACACCUACAGUGGGGUGCUACUGAGGUCAAAGCCCCUUAGUUUCUGGGGAAUGAAUAUUUGAGAAUAAUGCAUGCAGAAAUAGUGUCACAGUUUUGUUGUACCUCCAAAAUAUGGUGAAGCAGAGUAAUGUGGUUUUGGUUUGCUUUUGUUUCUGUUAGUCUGAGCAAGGCACUAAUUUUAAAACCUCCAGCAUCUCCAGUGUGACGCCCCUAGAAGAUACAGAAAAAAGUU